AACGAACGCUGGCGGCGUGCCUAACACAUGCAAGUCGUGCGAGAAAGUUUCCUUCGGGGAGCGAGUAAAGCGGCGCACGGGUGAGUAACACGUAGGUAACCUACCUUUCAGUCCGGAAUAACCAGCUGAAAAGCUGGCUAAUGCCGGGUAAGACCACGAUCUCUGCGGGGAUCGCGGCCAAAGGCGGCCUCUUCAUGAAAGCUGAUGCUGAGAGAUGGGCCUGCGACCAUUAGCUAGUUGGUGAGGUAACGGCUCACCAAGGCUUUGAUGGUUAGCUGGUCUGAGAGGAUGACCAGCCACACUGGGACUGAGACACGGCCCAGACUCCUACGGGAGGCAGCAGUGGGGAAUAUUGCGCAAUGGGGAAACCCUGACGCAGCGACGCCGCGUGGGUGAUGAA
rnacentral:rRNA from 1 species